AAAGUCGUAACAAGGUUUCCGUAGGUGAACCUGCGGAAGGAUCAUUAAAGAGUUAGGGUCUUCUCGGCCCGACCUCCCAACCCUAUGUUUAUUGAACCUCUGUUGCUUCGGCGGAUCCGCCUCACGGCCGCCGGAGGAUCGCUGCAAGGCGUCCUCUGGCCCGCGUCCGCCGAUAGCCGACCAUUUAAAAAACGCUGAAUGAAUCGUGUCCUAUGUCUAAGUCUAUGAUUAAAUUAAAGCAAAACUUUCAACAACGGAUCUCUUGGUUCUG
rnacentral:misc_RNA from 1 species